rnacentral:snoRNA from 1 species
GCAAUGAUGACCAUUUUUGGUUUUGAUUAACAAUGAAAACACACAACCAAUUCCUCUAAGAAGUUCUGAGCUC